CCUACGGGAGGCAGCAGUGAGGAAUAUUGGUCAAUGGACAAGAGUCUGAACCAGCCAAGUAGCGUGAAGGAUGACUGCCCUAUGGGUUGUAAACUUCUUUUAUAUGGGAAUAAAAUGUUCCACGUGUGGGAUUUUGUAUGUACCAUAUGAAUAAGGAUCGGCUAACUCCGUGCCAGCAGCCGCGGUAAUACGGAGGAUCCGAGCGUUAUCCGGAUUUAUUGGGUUUAAAGGGAGCGUAGGUGGAUUGUUAAGUCAGUUGUGAAAGUUUGCGGCUCAACCGUAAAAUUGCAGUUGAAACUGGCAGUCUUGAGUACAGUAGAGGUGGGCGGAAUUCGUGGUGUAGCGGUGAAAUGCUUAGAUAUCACGAAGAACUCCGAUUGCGAAGGCAGUUCACUGGACUGCAACGGACACUGAGGCUCGAAAGUGUGGGUAUCAAACAGGAUUAGAUACCCUUGUAGUC
rnacentral:rRNA from 1 species